AUGAGUAACACAACUAUAUCUGUUUGUUCCUGGAAUGUACGAGGACUAGGUGAUGAAUCCAAAUGCGCCGAUGUCCUUUCUGAACUGAUCAGUAUCAAACCCCACUGCGCCCUCAUACAAGAAUCAAAUCUCAAUGAGAUCACCGAACAAAAAUUUAGGUCCUUCUUACCACGAUCUCUAGAUCAAAAAAUCGUCCAACCAGCAGACGGAUUGGCCGGAGGAACCAUCUCUGCUUUCAACAAAAACUACCUCUCCCUAAUCUCUCACUCCAACCACCGUUUUGCCACAUCCAGUACACUCAAAUCACUCGCCCACACCCUUCCCUUUGUUAUCACAAACGUAUAUGCACCCUCAAACCGCAACCACAAGCAAGACUUCCUCGACGAACUCAGACGCAUCCAAGAAAAUGACCAAAUUCUGUGGCUCAUUGUAGGCUUCUUUAACCAAAUCCGCUUUCCUAGUGAAAAAAAUAACCGUAAUUUUCACCAACGCGAAGCUGAUGCUUUUAACUCUAUGAUCAACGACCUCACGUUAAUCGAACUACCACUGCUUGAUAGACGAUUCACUUGGUCUAACAAAAGAGCAAACCCAACCCUAGAAAGACUUGACAGAGCUUUUAUCAACUUAGCUUGGAACAAUUGCUUCCCUAACACAACUCUGACAUCGCGUCCACGUAUCACAUCCGAUCACGUCCCCCUAAUUAUAAAC
rnacentral:rRNA from 1 species